rnacentral:rRNA from 1 species
GACGAACGCUGGCGGCGUGCCUAAUACAUGCAAGUAGAACGCAGUUGCGAACGCGUGAGUAACGCGUCUGUGACCGCCUCAUAGCGGGGGAUAACUAUUGGAAAAGAUAGCUAAUACCGCAUUCAGUUAGCUGGACCGGCGUUGCAUUAGCUAGUUGGUGAGGUAAAGGCUCACCAAGGCGACGAUACAUAGCAGAACUGAGAGGGUGAUCGGCCACACUGGGACUGAGACACGGUCCAGACUCCUACGGUAGGCAACAGUGGGGAAUAUUCCACAAUGGGCGUAAGUCUGACCGAGCAACGCCGCGUGAGUGAAGAAGGCUUUCGGAUCGUAAAGCACUGUUGUCGGAGAAGCGGUAACUAACCAGAAAGAGACGGCUAACUACGGCCCACCACCGGCGGUAAUU